UCACUUAGCUUGCUGGGCCAUAAACAUAUGUCCAGCCCAACAAGGCCCAACCAAGCCCGGUCCUGUUUGUUGAAAAGAAUAAAAAAAACGCAUGCGGGCAAAAAGGACAGUGGAGGAGCAUCGAUAAGUUGUUUUCAUUGUUUCAGAAUGCAGAACUCCUCUUCUUCUUUUGGCUAUGAAAUUUGAAACCAUUUUCACAACCAAAAAGUUUCAAUCACUUAUUGAUGCAACAUCUUCUUCAAACCAAUUUCACGUAUUGCGUGAGUCAUCCCUUUCAUUGCAGAGUUUUGUAUCUUUCUUAGGUCAGGUCACUUUCACAAUUCACAAGUAAGACUAACAAACCGGGAAUUCUUUCAUUUGAAAUUCAAAAACCUCUCUCAUUUAGCUUCCUCUCUUUUUUCGAUUCUUUCAUUUCUCCCUCUCUUUUGACAAACUCAGAGAACGAAUGAUGAAGCAGAGAACACGACUGCAACGAAGGUAUGUAAAUACAUGGGGUUUCUGCAAUUUUCACGGCUGGAGAAGUAUCCAAAUGAAGCAGAUUUAUGAUUGAAUAAAAAUGGACCAAAGUGUUUCAGAAUUCAAUUACCAGAUAUUGUUGUUCAUGAAUUUGAGGAAAAAAGUAUGUUUUCUUCUUUGAAAUGCCUAUUCUUCUUCAAUACUGUUUCUUAUAUCCGAUUUUACGAUCCUUUUUCUAUUUCUUUGAAAAUAUUGUUGCUUAGUUGUCAUAUUUAUUAGGAUUUGUUUCUAUCGUUUAGUUAAUAAUCCCUACUUUUUAGGAGUUAGUGGCGUUUAGAUAGUUUUCUCCAAUGAUUGAUUUGUUUUUGUUAAAUUUCAGAUUUUUUUUAGAUUUGUAUCAAUUUUAAUUAGUUUUAUUUGUUAUUUGUAAACUUUAAUCUAGGAGAAAACCAAACUGAUAUAACCCAGUCAGUUUAUUGCAUUUGCUUGAGGCCAAACAAAAAAAUCUCCUUGCAGGACUGAUGCUGCUGCUACUGUUGUUUUUCUUGCUUUGUUGGAAUCAAUUUCAAAAUUCAAUUUCUCCCAUUCUUUUUCAAUAUCUAAACUCACUUUCUUACUCAUCUCUCUCCAUUUUUUGUUGAUUCUUCGAACUUCUUCUCUCUCCCUGAAUCAACCUUCUUGGAUGGCACAAGCCACAAUCUCCAAAGGUUUCAAAUUGCUUCUCCAUAUGUUAUUUUAUGAUUUAAUUUAAUCACAUGUUUAAUUUUUUGUCUAUGUUUGCAAAUUAGGUUUUCUUCUCCAUCGAAUCCUCCAACCUGUUUCAAGACUCAUCCCGCAGGCCAAAAGAUUUGUAGACUAUUUGGCUACUUUGGUCCUCUAAAUGAAGUUUUCAUGCUUGUGAUUAUUAUAUUAGUUCAUGCCUUGGACUCAAUGAAAUGUGUGGCUGCUGUAAAAAGGAAAGGAGUAGUGCCAGAAGAGGAUAUUUACAUUAAGUUUCUUACUUCCUUUUCAUUGAUGAAGAACGAGGUAGUACAUUAAGCUAUCUUCCAUAAAUUAAUUUAUUAUUGCUAUCUAUCUUUUAUAUUUGUUCAUUAUCCUAUAAAUGUAUUUGUUUUUAUUUUCCGAUCUACUGAGUUUGAAGUGUAUGAAUGAUCGCUAGCAUGGAGUAAGUAACAUGAAGGCUAACAUAAAGGUUAACCAAAAACCCUUUUAUACAACAUUUGUAUUCUGGCAAAAGCUCGAAAAACUUUAAAACCAAUUAUGAAGGCUAACCUGAAUGUGUUGGUGAUUUUUCUCUUCUUUUUUUUUGUUUGUUUUGGUAUAUAUAGUCUGAAAUAAUACUUUGUGCUACUAAAUAAAUGCAACACUUUCUUUAAUUUUCUCAUUAUCUAGAGUUCACUUCUUUUAAACAUGUUAUCAAAUUUAUUCUUCUUUUGGUUGGUAACUCCUUUUGAUAACUCAUCUUUUGUUGAUAUAAAACUCUUCCAAAUUCUAUUCUAUAAUAUUUGUUGAAGUUGGAUUAGUGUUCCAUUAGUUUAUAUGUGAUGGGUGUACCAUGUACAGAUCUGCCAAUAAAAUUUUGGUGUAUGCAAAUUCUAUAACCCUUUUAAUAACUCAUCAUGAUAUGAAUUGUGUUUUGCAGAUAGAUUUUGGGGUUUGUGGGAAUUGUGUUCUAUUUUCUUAGAUUUACCUCUUUUUGACCAAAUAUUACAGAGCAUGUCAUACGGAAAAGAUUAGAAAGGAAGGAGCAAGAAGAUUAGCUAAAGCUUGAGUGCAACUAGGAUAGAUACAGUUUGUAAUAAAUAUAAUACCCUUAAAUGUUGAAUAGAAUCAUUGUCUAACAUUGUUUUUCCAAUAUAAUUAUGCUUAUUCAAUAGCUUUAAAGCAUUGCUUUAUAGUUUA